rnacentral:rRNA from 1 species
AGAGUUUGAUCCUGGCUCAGGACGAACGCUGGCGGCGUGCUUAACACAUGCAAGUCGAGCGGAAAGGCCCUUCGGGGUACUCGAGCGGCGAACGGGUGAGUAACACGUGGGUAACCUGCCCUUCACUCUGGGAUAACUCCGGGAAACCGGGGCUAAUACCGGAUAUGACCUGUCCCGGCAUCGGGGUGGGUGGAAAGUUUUUCGGUGGGGGAUGGACCCGCGGCCUAUCAGCUUGUUGGUGGGGUGAUGGCCUACCAAGGCGGUGACGGGUAGCCGGCCUGAGAGGGCGACCGGCCACACUGGGACUGAGACACGGCCCAGACUCCUACGGGAGGCAGCAGUGGGGAAUAUUGCGCAAUGGGCGGAAGCCUGACGCAGCGACGCCGCGUGAGGGAUGACGGUCUUCGGAUUGUAAACCUCUUUCACCCACGACGAAGCGCAAGUGACGGUAGUGGGAGAAGAAGCACCGGCCAACUACGUGCCAGCAGCCGCGGUAAUACGUAGGGUGCAAGCGUUGUCCGGAAUUAUUGGGCGUAAAGAGCUCGUAGGCGGCUUGUCACGUCGACUGUGAAAACCCGGGGCUCAACUCCGGGCCUGCAGUCGAUACGGGCUGGCUUGAGUGCGGUAGGGGAGACUGGAAUUCCUGGUGUAGCGGUGAAAUGCGCAGAUAUCAGGAGGAACACCGGUGGCGAAGGCGGGUCUCUGGGCCGUAACUGACGCUGAGGAGCGAAAGCGUGGGGAGCGAACAGGAUUAGAUACCCCAGUAGUCC